UACGUAGGGUGCGAGCGUUAAUCGGAAUUACUGGGCGUAAAGCGUGCGCAGGCGGUCUGUUAAGACAGAUGUGAAAUCCCCGGGCUUAACCUGGGAACUGCAUUUGUGACUGGCAGGCUAGAGUAUGGCAGAGGGGGGUAGAAUUCCACGUGUAGCAGUGAAAUGCGUAGAGAUGUGGAGGAAUACCGAUGGCGAAGGCAGCCCCCUGGGUCAAGAUUGACGCUCAUGCACGAAAGCG
rnacentral:rRNA from 1 species